GACGAACGCUGGCGGCAUGCCUAAUACAUGCAAGUCGAACGAGUUCCCGUUGAUUGACGUGCUUGCACUGAUUUCAACAUUGGAACGAGUGGCGAACUGGUGAGUAACACGUGGAAAACCUGCCCAGAAGCAGGGGAUAACACUUGGAAACAGGUGCUAAUACCGUAUAACAACAAAAACCGCAUGGUUUUUGUUUGAAAGGUGGCUUCGGCUAUCACUUCUGGAUGGUUCCGCGGCGCAUUAGCUUGUUGGUGGGGUAACGGCUCACCAAGGCGAUGAUGCGUAGCCGACCUGAGAGGGUAAUCGGCCACAUUGGGACUGAGACACGGCCCAGACUCCUACGGGAGGCAGCAGUAGGGAAUCUUCCACAAUGGACGCAAGUCUGAUGGAGCAAUGCCGCGUGAGUGAAGAAGGGUUUCGGCUCGUAAAACUCUGUUGUUGAAGAAGAACGGGUGUCAGAGUAACUGUUGACAUCGUGACGGUAUUCAACCAGAAAGCCACGGCUAACUACGUGCCAGCAGCCGCGGUAAUACGUAGGUGGCAAGCGUUGUCCGGAU
rnacentral:rRNA from 1 species